rnacentral:rRNA from 1 species
GACGAACGCUGGCGGCGUGCCUAAUACAUGCAAGUAGAACGCUGAAGAGAGGAGCUUGCUCUUCUUGGAUGAGUUGCGAACGGGUGAGUAACGCGUAGGUAACCUGCCUUGUAGCGGGGGAUAACUAUUGGAAACGAUAGCUAAUACCGCAUAACAAUGGAUGACACAUGUCAUUUAUUUGAAAGGGGCAAUUGCUCCACUACAAGAUGGACCUGCGUUGUAUUAGCUAGUAGGUGAGGUAACGGCUCACCUAGGCGACGAUACAUAGCCGACCUGAGAGGGUGAUCGGCCACACUGGGACUGAGACACGGCCCAGACUCCUACGGGAGGCAGCAGUAGGGAAUCUUCGGCAAUGGGGGCAACCCUGACCGAGCAACGCCGCGUGAGUGAAGAAGGUUUUCGGAUCGUAAAGCUCUGUUGUAAGUCAAGAACGAGUGUGAGAGUGGAAAGUUCACACUGUGACGGUAGCUACCAGAA